CGACUCGGCCUCGCCGUCGGGCUCAUGGUCCGCGGCGCCUCCGCCCGCCGCGGCGGAGCAGGAGGAGGAGGAGGACGGGGCCGGGGAGAAGCAGCCGCCGAGGUGGUCGCAGACGAGGUCCUCGAGGUCGCGGCGGAAGUCGGCGGCGGCGCCCAUGCGCUGGUGGUGGUGGUGGUACUCGUCCAUGUCGUUUUGUCUGUCGCAAUAGAUAGAUGGGGUGCCCUAACCCUAACGCGAGGAGAAGAGAUUGUUGGCUGGGAAAUGGCUAAUGCGGAGGCGACGGGGUGGGGAUUAGGGCGGGGUUGGGGCCGCGGCGAGGAGGCGGCAUUCGCGAGCGAUUGGAGGUUGGAUUGCGAGCCAGAGCCGGAGAGACGGCUACAGCCAGCCUCGGGGACGGCGGGGAGGGGGUUGGAUUGGG
rnacentral:misc_RNA from 1 species